rnacentral:rRNA from 1 species
AUNUNAACUGCGAACGGCUCAUUAAAUCANUUAUAAUCUACUUGAUUGUAAAAUCUACAUGGAUAACUGUAGUAAUUCUAGAGCUAAUACAUGCAAAAAAUCCUGACUGUUAUGGAAAGGAUGUAUUUAUUANGUACAAAAUCAAUGCUGGCACUUGUGUCAGGUUUAUUGAUGAUUCAUAAUAACUAAACGAAGCGCACGACCUUGAGUUGGCGCUGAUACAAACGAGUUUCUGCCCUAUCAACUUUCGAUGGUAGNAUAGAGGACUACCAUGGUUUCAACGGAACGGGGAAUANAUUU